rnacentral:rRNA from 1 species
GAUUUGAAAGGCGCUUUCGGGUGUCGCUGAUGGAUGGACCCGCGGUGCAUUAGCUAGUUGGUGAGGUAACGGCUCACCAAGGCGACGAUGCAUAGCCGACCUGAGAGGGUGAUCGGCCACAUUGGGACUGAGACACGGCCCAAACUCCUACGGGAGGCAGCAGUAGGGAAUCUUCGGCAAUGGACGAAAGUCUGACCGAGCAACGCCGCGUGAGUGAAGAAGGUUUUCGGAUCGUAAAACUCUGUUGUUAGAGAAGAACAAGGAUGAGAGUAACUGUUCAUCCCUUGACGGUAUCUAACCAGAAAGCCACGGCUAACUACGUGCCAGCAGCCGCGGUAAUACGUAGGUGGCAAGCGUUGUCCGGAUUUAUUGGGCGUAAAGCGAGCGCAGGCGGUUUCUUAAGUCUGAUGUGAAAGCCCCCGGCUCAACCGGGGAGGGUCAUUGGAAACUGGGAGACUUGAGUGCAGAAGAGGAGAGUGGAAUUCCAUGUGUAGCGGUGAAAUGCGUAGAUAUAUGGAGGAACACCAGUGGCGAAGGCGGCUCUCUGGUCUGUAACUGACGCUGAGGCUCGAAAGCGUGGGGAGCAAACAGGAUUAGAUACCCUGGUAGUCCACGCCGUAAACGAUGAGUGCUAAGUGUUGGAGGGUUUCCGCCCUUCAGUGCUGCAGCUAACGCAUUAAGCACUCCGCCUGGGGAGUACGACCGCAAGGUUGAAACUCAAAGGAAUUGACGGGGGCCCGCACAAGCGGUGGAGCAUGUGGUUUAAUUCGAAGCAACGCGAAGAACCUUACCAGGUCUUGACAUCCUUUGACCACUCUAGAGAUAGAGCUUCCCCUUCGGGGGCAAAGUGACAGGUGGUGCAUGGUUGUCGUCAGCUCGUGUCGUGAGAUGUUGGGUUAAGUCCCGCAACGAGCGCAACCCUUAUUGUUAGUUGCCAUCAUUUAGUUGGGCACUCUAGCAAGACUGCCGGUGACAAACCGGAGGAAGGUGGGGAUGACGUCAAAUCAUCAUGCCCCUUAUGACCUGGGCUACACACGUGCUACAAUGGGAAGUACAACGAGUCGCAAAGUCGCGAGGCUAAGCUAAUCUCUUAAAGCUUCUCUCAGUUCGGAUUGUAGGCUGCAACUCGCCUACAUGAAGCCGGAAUCGCUAGUAAUCGCGGAUCAGCACGCCGCGGUGAAUACGUUCCCGGGCCUUGUACACACCGCCCGUCACACCACGAGAGUUUGUAACACCCGAAGUCGGUGAGGUAACCUUUUGGAGCCAGCCGCCUAAGGUGGGAUAGAUGAUUGGGGUGAAGUCGUAACAAGGUAGCCGUAUCGGAAGGUGCGGCUGGAUCACCUCCUUU